GGCAAUUUGGAUCCAAAAAGCUAUAAGUUUUGAAUCAAGAUUCUCCAGGAGGAAACAAGACCAAUUGACAAAAAAAGAAAACAUAGGAGAGACGAAACCAGCAUAAAAAAGCAAUAGACCAACCACAAAACCUCAGCAAGAAUAGCCAAAAACCGCCCUAAUCAAGCCCAAUAGCAAAGCUAAGCAGAGGCAGAGAUGCCAAAACACGCAACCUUAGCAAGUAAAAGAUAUAAAAUGCAGCUCACUAACACCCAAGACCACCUGAAGCCUCCCACAUUGCCCUAUCUGACUUAAUAAAGUCAGUGAGAAAGUGCACCACAGUAUCAUUCGGUUCUGAAAAACUUAAACCAAGUUAUUUUUCCAAGAUAACAGUUUGCCUUGCUUCUUCUUCGGCAUCAAAAGGGAUAGCCGAGACAUCCCAAGCGGAAAAAUUGCGAAGGCGAGAAUUGAUCCGAUUGAUAUCACUGUCUGAAGGUUGAACAAUUUCUUUCCUCAUUCGAGAAGAGCUGCUACUGGACUGCUUUUUCAAUUUCUUCUGGCGUUUGCCUCCCCUAAGAAACUCUGGGGAAGAGUCAACUAAAUCACCAAGCAAUUUGCACUUAGGUCGCUGCUUGAGAAGCCCAAACACUUUGAGACAUUUAGAAGGUCCAGUUGAGUGCAGGGCCGGCCCAUGAGCUUGCCAUGGAACCAUGGCUAGUGGAUUUGAAUCAGCCAAUUGUUCAGUGAGAGGCUUCUGUUCACGUGUCAUUGCAAUUGAAUCCAUGUGGUUCUCCCUAUUUUUAAACGCCUCUAAAUUAAGUAGGGAAACAGUGGCGUUAAUACCCAACCACCGAGUGUUAGGGAGAGAUGCCAGAGGAUCUUCGAAGCUCUCUAUUCCAUGAUUAAACUUGCGGCCGGUUUCUUGAGAAGAGCAAUCUAGGGUAGCUGUUGGGUCAGCAAAGGUGAUUUCGGGACAGUACACUCAAGUAUACUGUCCUCCAAAGGUGAGAUGUAGCCGCCUGAAUUGACAGGUGUGCUCACAGGCAGAGCUAAUUUGUCUGCUGCAGAAGAGCCAUAGUGAGAAUUAUUUUCUUUUUCCGAUGAAGGAUUCGACUCAAAGCGAAACUCGUUUGAACUUGCCCCUGUUGAUUCAGUAGCUAAUGAAGUUGCUUUUGUCUUGUUACAACAGUUGGGGAUGCCAAAAAAUGGUAAUUCUUCAACCAUAAUGAUAUUGAAUCUAACAUUAUCGAUAUCAACAGCCACGGUUUUGUUAAUGUGAAUUAAAGAAUCGGUAAGAAUGAGUAAUCUAGCUGAAUCGAUUUUUGUUUUGGUUUGAGUGCUGCUAUCAAUAGAGAUGAGUUCACCAAAUUGAUUACCAACCCAACUGAAGAAUUGCGUUGUCCAAACAUUAAGGGGAAUGCCAUAAACCCUUAGGUAAACAAGGUGCUAGGAGGGUGUAGCAUUAACAUGCCAUGGUUGUAUCUCAGUAAACCAUUUGUUUAACCACGUUCGUUCUUCCAGAAAAUGUUCCAUAAGCUCCUUUGAGUCGAAAGUAAGCAAGACAGAACUUCCCCCAAUAUAGAGGACUUUAAUGGAGAACACUCUCUCCGCAAAGAAGUAUUCCUGGAGAUUAGAAAUUGUAUUCAUGUUGAUGACAAUCCCAAAAGCCGAUCGAGACAACCACUCCAUGUUGUCGUAGCUGGAUGCGAAACUACCCCCUAAAAUGAAAUCCUUUUGUUCCACGGAGUGAGACCUCCCUAGGCAGAUAUCAAAAUCCCUGAUAACUCUGUUCUUGUUCUGCUCAGUAUGAUCACCAAUACACAUGAAUAUUUUGUUAGAAGUCCUUCUCUCCGGCAGAGGAAAUUGGUGACCUAAAGUGGAUGCUAUGGGAAGAUGCUCUGUUGUGCCUGCAGUCCCUGGUUCGCUCAUGUUCCCUACUUUUCCUAUGCCCAAACUGGUAGCUUGUUUUCUGAAGGUAUCUUCUAUUGUAAUGAGAUUCGAAAGCUCGAAGCUUAUAACUACUGAACCAAAUCUUGUUAAGGUCAGCCAGAAGAGUUUGAAGAGAUGCCAUUGUACGAACACGAGCGAACCCAAAUCGCCUGCGGAUCCAACUCAGCUUCUGUGGCACAAAAAUCUCGAUAAUAUCUCCAAACUUGGAGAAGGAUUUCCACAAGGUUUCAGCAUUCAACUCUGGAGGAAAAUUUUCAAAAUAUGCAGUGGGAAAUUUUAAAUAUAUGCAGUGGGAAGGCUAUGGUUAAAGGUUGAUUUGUUGCCAUGGUGGGUGGGAGGGAAGAGUGCCAUUUUGGUUAUAGGCAAGUGCUACAUGACUUUGAAAGUUGCAGAGAUCCUAAAGUUAUCAUUGCCAAAGGAACUCCUUUGCAUUU
rnacentral:misc_RNA from 1 species